ensembl:lncRNA
GAUUACUUGCAGAUACUUUAAUUGCUUUUAGUUUUCAUUUCUGUUCUCAUUCUCCAAAUGUAAGCGUGUGUGUUGUGUAGCGCUGCAGAUCUGUAAUGGGUUUGGAGACACACACAGGAAGGAUUGUUAUUGGUUUGAUACUUUGCAUUUAUUGAUUUGAUACGUUGUAGCGAGACAUCUAAUCUGUGUGUGUGUGUGUGUGUGUGUGUGUGAGUGUGCGUGUGUGUGUGUGUGCAGGAGCUCAACACUAUGAAACCCAAAGCCAGCUUCAGAUUGAGGUUCAUGUGAAGUUCACUCCCAUAAUGCUCCAGUCCAGCCUGAAGGUCACUUAUAAGGAUUAUUGUGCGGUGGUGGACGCUCUUCCUGAAGACGACAGACCCAGUUUCUUCGGCCUGCCUGCAAACAUCGAGUGCUCUGUACAGAGAGUCAUUAGCUUACAGGUGUGUGUGUGUGUGUGUGUGUGUGUGUGUGUGUGUGUGUGUGUGUGUGUGGGUGUGUGUGUGUAUGCGUGUUUCUGCAAAGGUCAUGAAGGGUCAGAGGUGUUUUGAGAACAUUGUGCUGAGCAUGACAUUCCUUAACAUCAAAGUAGUGUGUGUGUGUGUGUGUGUGUGUGUGUGUGUGAGAGAGAGAGAGAGAGAGAGAGAGAUAGAGAGAGACUGAUGUUUAUGUAGGGUGGAGAUCAUAAUGCGCUGACAGACCAAGUACAUAUUUUCGCCAUAUUUUUGUGAUGACUUUUAACACCCAAGUCCUUUUAGAGACAACUACUGUAUGCACGAUUCUUAUGACAAUAUUUAUGAACCGUUUUGACUAGCUGGAAUCCAGUCAAAUGUUACUGAAGCAAACUGCGGAUGAAAAGUUUAGCAGGGUUUAAGUUAACAAUUCAUAUUUAUUUUCCUUCUAUCUUCUACGUUUUGCAAUGUUGUCAUUGUUAACUAAAACUAUUAAAAAUGGUUUUCAGUAUUUGAAAAAAAAUCUAAAAUAAAAUUACGAUUACAGUUCUUAUCAAACUAGAUAUUAGAUAUAUCAACUUGAACUGCAAUAAUGGAAUAAAUGUGUAAAUGAAAUGCAGCAUCUUUGCCAUUUUCUUUGUGAUACACGCAGAAAAGAAGAAGACCAAUGACAAUUCAGUAUGCAAAUACAAACUUUGUGAUGUCAUCAUUGCAGCUGUCACAUGAUAACAUUGUAACAUCUUUAGGUUAAGUGGCUCAAACUGAAUCACUAACAGCAUGAAGUGUGGUUUUAUUCUUGUGAAAUAUUAGUUAUUUUUAUGCUCGUGAUGAUUAACUUUGCAGAACUCACCACCAUAAAGCUGUGUGUUCAGAGCUGGUGUUAAGGCAUCACUAUCCAGAUUUUCAGCUGCAUGAAUAUCCUGCUUUUUACUGAAUGAAAUACAUGAAUCACCCUCAUUAAGCUCACUGUCGCGCACUUGACUCACACACACACACACACACACACACACAGACACACACACACACACACACACAGACACACACACUCUUUGUGUGUUCAGAGCAUUACGCUGCACUCCUAUUCGUCACUGUCAGGUUUAGACUGAUCUUUGCCACACACACACACACACACACACACACACACACACACACACACAGGGUGCUGUAGAGACAGUGUGUGUGUGUUUAGCUCUUGUAAUGAGACCGAUUUAUCAUGUGUAAGAGUCGCCUGCACCUUCCUUGCAGUUUGCCCCAAUCACAGAGAGAUGGAGGAUAGUGUACGGUGAGAUGUACUGUGCUCACCUCAGCUCUGUGUGUGUGUGUGUGUGUGUGUGUGUGUGUGUGUGCGCAGGUGCGGAUUCUAAGCAGGUCUGUAGCAUCCAGCUCCAAAUUGGACAGAAAGAUCUGGUUUAAUGUUCUCUCACCUGUGGAAACAUCUCUACCAUGUUAUUCAUCUGCAUUUUAGUGUCAUAACAUAAUUAUUAUCAUAUUAUAUAUACAGGGGUGCACAUACGUUUAAAGCCUGGUUCUCAUAAGAGCAAAUGGAGAUUUGAUUGGGUCCUUACACUGCACUGUGUGAUCCAUUAAAUAUAACUUUCAAAAAUAAAUUAAUAAUUGUGAUAAUAUUAUUGCACUUUAUUUAGUUUUUUAAAUAUAUAUAAAUGGGAAGGCCCUGAAGACCUGAUGCAGUAUUUGCGAUCCGUCGUGUCCCGUGUAAACAAGCUCCUGGAAUGUGUUUGACCUCCUCCAGGUGUUCUCCAGUUUGUUUAGUCGUCUCUAUGAUCCUAGAAUGCGAGAAUGCCACGAAGGAGCCGUGUUUGUUCAGGAUGCACCUGGCCUUAUAAAUGGCUCGCAUAUUUUCCUGCAGUAAUGGGGCCGUGCAGAGCGAUCAUCUGACCUAAUGAGUCUCUGGAGACGUUAUCCCCGCACCUCCUCGGCAGACACUGCGUGUGUCGAGGCGUCUCUGAUUGUUUUCCCAGCGUAAAGCCGUUGGAAUGUAGGCCGCAGUGACUCAUCUGAUUUUAUGAGGGUUUUUCUGUGCUUUCAUGCGAUUUGCUCUCUUCCGUGCUUUGGCUUUGGAUGAAAGCGCUUUGUGAACAGCAACCCUGCUGUAAAUUCCAGCUCUGUGAAGCUCAUGAUGUACUUUUUCUGAUACCACCGGGUCACAGCGCCCCGAUCCCCGUAGUCAACAAUGUGGUUUGGAACAAGUAUGAAACAUUCAUGGAGUUUAUCAAAAAUUGGUAACUUAUUGUUGACUUCGGCUUUGCCAAAAUAAAGCCAUGUUAACUGGGGAUUACUGUACUGUUCUUAUACCAUAUACAAUUUACAGUGUCGGUCUGGCAAAAACACACAAAUUCAGUGGUUUGGGAAAUGACUAAUUAUAUAUGCAUGAAAUAUAUUAUUAAUGUUAGUGUAUAUUUUAUGCAUAUAUAAUUUGUCAUGUGCAAACCCACUGAAUGGGGUAUUUAUUU